rnacentral:misc_RNA from 1 species
UCUGGUGGCGACUCUGAAUAAUAAAAUUCUUUUUUCUCAGUGUCAGCAACACGGAUAUUAGUAUCGGCUACCGGGUAGUUAGCGUGUUGGCCAGUGAGUUGUUGGACUAAAGCUCUAAAUUCUUCAGCACUUGUGUUAACUUUCAUUGGAUUUGAAAUAUAAACAACUUUAACUGGCUUUUUUUUGGUGUUUUUGGGUUGUUUGUUUGCUUUUUUUGAAUGUACACUAAGCAUUUUAUCCAUUGAAUUUUUUUUAUUUUAUUUUUCUGUGCUUGUUUUUGGGCUAUUUAG